UUUGAUUUUCUUGUCUUAAGGACAGCAUGGGAUUAAACACAGAAUUAAGAGGAAAACAACUGGCCAAUCUGAGGUCAGAUGCUAUCGUCAAACCCUGGUUCUAGUUGAGAGGC